rnacentral:misc_RNA from 1 species
ACCUAUUAUGAUAGAGGAACUUGCUUCGGAGCUCGGGCUGUCUCCUUCCGUACCAGUUCAUGUAGUUCUGCAGGACUGGAUUAGACACUCAGAUGGAAAGCUCAGUUUCUUGGGAUUUGUCCGGCUUCUACAUGGAGUUUCUUCGCGCACAUUUCAAAAAGCUUAAAGAGUAUAGCCUAUCUUAUUGAACUUCCCAGUGUUUCAUCCAGCUUUCAGACUAUUCAUCACUCGAAGAAUCAAAGUCUUGUUGCUUGAUCAAAUGAUCUGUUGAAAGGCGGAAACAGCUAGUUUGCAACAGAACUACAGAUCCAGUUUGAAAAUACAUGACACUAGCAGCAGUAUAUUUGGUGUCAAAUCUUAUUUUGUCAUGUAAUUCUUGUAUUCUUCAAAUGUUGGAUCACAUUCCACUUUAAGAGGAUUGUACAGAUGAGGAUAAUCAGAAGAAAAAAAGUUGUAAGUAGUUUGUCAGAAAAGACAGCUGAAAGCUGAGAUGAGUUCUUGUGGCUUCUUGGUGUA